AUAUAAAAACUAAGUUUAAACAGUGAAUGAUAUAUCGCUUUGAGGAACCGAUAAAUGAUUCACUAUUUUCUGUAAGUGAUUAGGAGUGAAAACUGAUUGAAUAUUAUCUGAAAAUAUUUGUAUCCUUAUUCGAUAAUAUCCAAAUUCAGAUAGAAAGCAUCCGGAUUUGGUCGGAUACAGAUAUGGUUUUAGAAAGUUAAAUUUUUUUGGAUAUCUAGAAAAAACGAAUACGGAUUCUGUAUCUGAACUUUUAGUACUAUUGUUUUUAUGCUCUUUAUAUUUUCGGAUCUGCUCUGCUUGCCAGGCCUGCCCUAAUCCUUUUUCUCCAAAGGUGAUCACUUGAUUUCUUUUUAAUGAAUAAAACCUAUUUAUUCGCGAUCUCUCUCUCUCUCCGGCGUCUGCUCUCUUACCCUAAUCAUUUCUUCAUUCUCUCACCCCAUUAUCAAACCGAUCGUGGCCUGAGAUUGGCCAUCUACGAACAGGACAACGAAGACAUAGUCCCUACAUCCCUCAUCUCUCUCGUCUCUCUAUUUUUCUUUGUCGCGGACUCUCCCUAACUCUGAUCGUCGCCACCGACUACCUCCUCUUAUUUCGUUCGAUCUUGAACGACGCUCAAGUCUUGACCCACUCUCGCAU
rnacentral:lncRNA from 1 species